rnacentral:rRNA from 1 species
UACGUAGGGUGCAAGCGUUGUCCGGAAUUAUUGGGCGUAAAGAGCUCGUAGGCGGUCUGUCGCUGUCGGCUGUGAAAAUCCCGAGGCUCAACCUCGGGUCUGCAGUCGAUACGGGCAAACUAGAGUAUUGCAGGGGAGACUGGAAUUCCUGGUGUAGCGGUGAAAUGCGCAGAUAUCAGGAGGAACACCGGUGGCGAAGGCGGAUCUCUGGGCCGAUACUGACGCUGAGGAGCGAAAGCGUGGGGAGCGAACAGG